rnacentral:rRNA from 1 species
GAUGAACGCUAGCGAUAGGCCUAACACAUGCAAGUCGAGGGGCAGCAUAAGGAAGUAGCAAUACUUUCUGGUGGCGACCGGCGCACGGGUGAGUAACACGUAUGCAACCUGCCUUCAACAAGGGCAUAACCCGUUGAAAGACGGACUAAUACCCUAUAAUACAGGGGCCCCGCAUGGGGAUAUUUGUUAAAGAUUUAUCGGUUGAAGAUGGGCAUGCGUUCCAUUAGCUGGUUGGUGGGGUAACGGCUCACCAAGGCAACGAUCAGUAGCCGACCUGAGAGGUUUAUCCCCCACACUGGUACUGAGACACGGACCAGACUCCUACGGGAGGCAGCAGUGAGGAAUAUUGGUCAAUGGACGCAAGUCUGAACCAGCCACGUCGCGUGAAGGAAGACGGCCCUACGGGUUGUAAACUUCUUUUGUAAGGGAAUAAAGUGUAGUACGCGUACUAUUUUGCAUGUACCUUACGAAUAAGGAUCGGCUAACUCCGUGCCAGCAGCCGCGGUAAUUCACUA